GGAGUUUAAUCCUGGCUCAGGACGAACGCUGGCGGCGUGCCUAACACAUGCAAGUCGAGCGGAGACAGUGAGUAGCUUGCUAUGAGCUGUUUUAGCGGCGGACGGGUGAGUAACGCGUGAGCAACCUUUCCCAGACAGGGGAAUAACACACCGAAAGGUGUACUAAUACCGCAUAAGACCACGGGAUCACAUGGUUCUGGGGUAAAAGAUUUAUCGGUUUGGGGUGGGCUCGCGUCCGAUUAAGUAGUUGGUGAGGUAACGGCCCACCAAG
rnacentral:rRNA from 1 species